AUGCAUCAGUAUAUGUUGAUACAAUGGUAUGUGCUUAAGCAAAUUUAUAGAGUCUGCUAUUGUAUAUGCUAGUUGGAUCCUAUUUGGAUGUAACUUGUUGAUUAUAUGAAUAUCGGAAAUGCAAGCUUAUUAAAAGCUUUACGAAUUAAAUUCAUUGUGUGAUAUUCAUCUAAAUGUAAUAACAAGCACUACCAGAAGAAAGGGUUUAGCCGACGAAAAUAAAAAAACCAAGCCGAAGAACUAUUUUUUCAUCGGCUAAAGUUGACCAUAGCCGACGAAAUUUUACUUUGUCGGCUAAUUUAAAUCUUCCAACUUUAGCCGACGAAAUUUUAAUUUAGCCGAAUUUCGUCGGCUAAAGAAUUUUUUUCGCCGGCUAUAGUCUGUGAACUUUAGCCGACGACUUUAAAAAUUAUUUAGCCGAUGAAAUUAAAAUGUUGUCGGCUAAAGUGUCUUAUAUUUGCAGAUCUAUACAGCAGCUCAUCUGGGAAAAAAAAACGGGAGAAGCAAAAACGGGAGAAAAAGUUUGGGUGUUAUCGAAAUCUGUCCAUAAUCAGUUUGUGGAGCUAUAUAUAGGUACAUAUAUGUGUAUAUAUGUUGAUUUUGAGUUUUAUUUGAGUUGAUCGAUUUUGAGUACGUUGGAUGUAUAUAUAUAUGUGUUGAUCGAUUUGGUUGAUGAUUUGAUAAUAUAUAUGAAGUUGUUAAUAAGUAGUAGAUAUAUAUAUAUAUAUAUAUAUUAAUUAAUUUAUAAUAUUGUGUUGACGGUAUGAAGUUGUUGAUGAUAUGAGUUGAUGAUGAUUUUGUGAUGAUGUUGAUAUAUAAUAUUGUUAUGUAAUUAUUAAGUAUAUAUAUAUGUGUUAAUUAAUUUGUUAUUAAUUAGUUGUAGUACGUAGAAUACUAAAUGAAUUGAGAUUUUAUAUAUUGAAUUUAAUUAAUUAGAGUUAUACAUAUAUAUUUUGU
rnacentral:lncRNA from 1 species